CGAGGCAGAGCCAUCGACGCCCGGAGGCCAGAGCUGUCUCUGCUCCGGAGGUUCGCAUGUUUGGCCGAUCUGGUACUUGCUGCUACUGCUAGGCUGGGUCGCCAUCUUAUGCACGGAUCACGGUGGUCGCGCGCUCGUUUGCGACCGUCGGCGCCAACUUGCAGGACCAGCAACCGCGACGGCCGGGCUCCUCGUGGUUCGACGCUCCGAUCUGGUCCUGCCGGAGCUCCGGCUGCGCGACGACAUAUUUGCUCGGAACAUGUUUGUGAAAAUGCGUCUGUCAGUCUGUGGGUACAUGUUUGGGACGCGCAUCCCUCUGCGCCCGAGAUAUUUGCCCGGAACAUGUUUGGAUGCAAAGCUGCCGUAUGCUGGCGGAUGUUCUGAAGCAAAUGUACAUUAGAGAGGCUGCUUGUCAACGGCAAUGUUGAUGCUGUUGAUGUUUCAGGGUUUUUGUGUUGUACAACUGAUAGGAUUACCGAGUUGAAGACAUGCUCUGCUUGCCCAGUUGCCAUAAUGCUCUAGCUGUUGGCGGCUUGGUGCUGCAUUGCAGUGAACUUGUCUUUAUUAUAAGAUGCUCAUGUGAAUAAACUCUGUACUUACUUUCUUAUUGGUCUUCACAGAGGCUGGCAGCAGCGUCAUCAACAUACAGUGAUGCACGUAUAUUGAAAAGGUUUUCGGAGGACCUGAGAGUGCUGCACCGUGUGGCCGUGUGGCAGAUUUCAAGCGAUCUUUGCGUCUGAAUUGUGUCAUUGUCCAUUUGCUGAUUCAUCUCUACUAGACAUGUCCUUAUAUAAGUGCCGGACUGCAGGGUUUGGAGGUUAGCUUGGUGGAGGCAGUGCAGAGGCUAAAUAUAAUGGUUGCCCAAAACUCUUCCUGAUAAAUGAAUCAUGGUAUAUAUCUGAUGAUGACCUGAGGUAAUUACAUGCUUUAGCUUCGAUUAUUGUGUAUUACCAUGUUCAGACAUGUUUUUUUUUAAGGCUGUGUGCAUCAACCGAUGCAGAGGCCGGGGAUCACCCCAUUUCGAAGAAAAAAAGACAUGUUUUUUUCAACCUUCUUGAGUGCAAACUGUAUAGUUUUGAAGUUUUGGUUAACUGGAAAUCUGGAAUAUUGAGUGUUUAAGACUAUAAGCCCAAAGAGUUUAUAAUUUAUCACUAAGUUUGCAUUGCAGAAACUUUACUGCUUUCCACUUCAUGGAAAUAGAGGGAACCGAAGACCCUUUUUACAACUCACAUUUUAGAAUGUUUGUUAGAAAAAAUCCGCAUACAAACUGUAAUCCCUAGUAAUCAUCAGUACGAAUACUUAUAAACUUAAGAGUUGAUUUUCUACAUGUUCUGAAGUUUCAUUGGAUAACAUCACAGCAUGUGUGUUACUUCUGGUAAGUGUCUCUGGAAUAGCACACUGUUAACCAUAACCACAUCACAUUUCUCCUUUCAUUUACUGCAGAAUUGUGUUCCUUGUCCUCUUAAGUCUUCACACACCACUAUUGCUGGUUUUACCAGAUGCGAAGCAGCAUGUACAAAGCAUACUGAAGGCUAGGAAAGUAUCCCCAUGAACAGAAACUAAAAUUUACGUGGGGUGCUCACAUAGCUGUGGUUUGAUUAGAAGUUAUUUCUGCAUGUAGAGGUUCCAAAUGGUGAAAUAUUUUACUAUAAAAUUCUCAAACUAAAUGGCAUAUAACAUUAUAAAUAAAUAGUUAUCUCUAUUGAUUUACUAUUGGAAAAACAUAAGGGAGAAGCUUGUUGCAUCUAUACCAACUAGUAAACGUGCAGUCUUAGGAAUUUAUUUGCCAUCCUUUGUGGACUCAGCCUUCUCAAACUUUUGACUCCGGCGAUCAUUGGCGAAAAAUGCAGACACGGUAGAAACGUAUUUUAGGCAUAGGAAAGUUAUAAUUUACACAUAUAAUUUUAUCCAAACCCAGAAAGAUCAUUGAUGUUCAUUUCAAUAAAAACCAAUCAAGUAAUAAAAAAGACACAAAUUUGCAAUAUAUUCAUUGAGGAAGUUUAUCACACAAAAAUUGAUGGUUGACACGACCCAAAAAACACCGAGUAUGCCGAUUUCAGUGACAGCGGGCUUUAAAAGUAUGCACUCAACUUAUUAUUUAUUCCAGACCUGCAUGUCUAAUCAAUUUGGUCCAUCUUGUUAACUUACUUUUGCAAGGACGGGUUAUAAUUGAAACAAUUUUCUAUGGAAUCAAACAAAUCUGUGCUUAUAAUCACGACUGAUUUACACAAAUCAAGCCGUAGCUCCAUAACUCACAUGAUAAAAGAUUUUAAGCCUUUAGAUACCUGAACGGGACAACUUGGUGAUGCUCUGCCGUGAAGACUUUUGAUAAUAUUGGUGAGUGGGGAGGUGGUCGGUGAGGAAGAUACAUAUUUUGCAGGGGUAGUGUAGCUUUAUCGGAGGCACUCGGCAAAAAAAUCGAUGGGUAUAGGCACAAUUAGAUCCUUAUAAUUGAGAUCUGAUUUAGCAAAUCAUUAUAAUAAUUAAAUUAAAUGUGGAAGAAAAAAUAUAUCAUCCAUUUUCAUCGCAAUAGUUAGCUCGUGACUAGAUAAUCCAAUAUUUCCUUGUAACAACUACCAUGUCUACCGAAAGAAGGAGAACCAGAUAAAAAUAUGUAUAUUUCCUCAUAUAAUCAUCAGUUAAUAAAUAUAUAUUGACGGAGAAAAAUCAAAUGGCAAACUUAUGUUAUGUGAUUUUUUCCAUCAAUAUAUCGUUGGUAACUGAUGAUUAUGUGAUUUUACUUAUUCUGUAUAAGGAAACAUACAUAUUUUUAGUUGGUUUUUUGUUUUAAACUUUUUUUUCGUAGACAUGGUAGCUGCUACAAAGAAAUAUUAGAGCUAGCUAAUGCGAUGAAAAGUGACGAUAUAUUUUUUCCUUCCACGCUUAUUUUAAUUAUUAUAUUGAUAUGCUAAAUCAGAUCUCAAUUAUGUGGAUCUAAUUGCACCUAUGCUGAUUGAUUUUUUUUGCCGACCGCCUCCUAUAAAGCUAAACCACCCGUACACAAUACGUGUCAUCCUGAGCGACCACCUCCCCAACUCAUCAAUAUUAUCAAGAGUCUUCAGAUCAUCACCAACCUCCCCAACUCAUCAAUAUUAUCAAGAGUCUUCACAUCAUCACCAAAUUUUCCCAUUCAGGUACGUAAAGGUUCAAAUCUUUUAUCUAAUGUUAAUUAUGGAGCUACGGCUUGAUUUGGGUCCAUCAAUCGUGAUUAUAAGCAGAGAUUGGUUUGAUUCAUUAUAAAAUUGCUUCAAUUACGACCUGUCUUGGCAAGAGCAAGUUAACAAGAUGGACCAAAUUGAUUAAACACGCAGCUCUGGAAUAAAUAAUAAGAUGAUUGUGUUUAUUAAAAUUUUAAAUCCAAUUGUCACUGAAAUCGGUCUACUUGGUGUUUCUUUUGGGUCAUAUGAACCAUCAUUUAUUUUGUCAUUUUUGUGUGAUAGACUUUAUCAAUGAAUAUAUUGCAAGUCUGUGCCUUUUUUUAUUACUUACUAUUAUCUUUUUAUUGGAUUUUAUUGAAGUGCCGAGUUCGGAUAAAACUGCAUGUGUAAAUUAUAAAAAUUUAUGCCAAAAAUACGUUUCUGCGGUGUUUGCAUUAUCCAUCCAUGAUUGCCGGAAUCGAAAAUUUGAGAAGGCUGAGGCGACAAAGGGUGACAAAUAAAUUCCUAAGAUUACACAUGUGUGGCACAUGCACGUUUACUAGUGAGUUAUAGUGUUCAAACACGAUCUUAACUCCUAUGGCAUUCUUUUCAAGCUUUUGAUAUUAGUUUUUCUGUUGCAAUGAACAAUUCUGUCAGUUUUGUGGGGAACUGUUGCAAGCGUGAAUACACGGCUUUAAAUUUGAGAGCGCUAAAGUGCAAACCAAAUAGAAAAAUAGAAUGUUCGCAAGAUAAACUUAUACUAAAUGCUGGAAUGUCUCAGCCAACAACUCCUUACGUUUACAGUAGACUGAUCUUUUCUUGAAAGAAACAUAGAUGGAUCGCAUAAUGGCAAUGAAUACCGCUACUGGAAGAGUAAUGUAAAAAUAUUUGAGGUCCACUUGAUAGAAAGUUAAAUUAUAAUUAACUAUUCCAUCUACAGUGGGAAGUUAUUGGCAAAGUUGCUGGAACAAACACACGGAAGCAUGGACAUAGCGGAAAACCGUUGAUUCCUGCAAUGAUAGCUGAUAAUAUGCAAUACCAGUAAGAAGUCGUUUGGAAGCCAGGCUUUCCUUUCAUUUGUAGCAUGUUGAAAUGAAUACAUGUGUUUAUUUCAUUUACAUUGUAAUUCUAGAAAUAGAAACUUGUUUGGUUGCCACAGAAAUUGUAAAUGACAGCAAAAUUCAGUAUUUAAUUUGUAAAUGGCUUCCAUAGAGAAACGCAAAUGACAGGUCUCAGCUUGGAAUCGUGUUUACCCAUGGAUUCAUUUUGCUAGAUUUCCUAAAUGAAAUGACGACCCAAUUAUGUGGCAACCAAACAGCCCACCUAUGGAAUUCCAAAAUGAAUUCUAGGAUUCCAGGCCCAAAAGAUGGAUACCAAACGACUUCUAAGGUGAUUCACAGAGAAGGUCCAUAUUCUGUAUCACCAUGAUUCAGCAGAAACACAUAGCUUUGUGUUUAUACCUGACCACACCUAAGCUGCACACAAAGAGGAUGUAAGAUUACCACUUCAAAACUUUGAUCUUCAUGGAAAGUUUAUUAUAGAAGUUCUGUUGACCUGGUAUUGAAAAAAAUGUUAUAUUUUAAGGAAAAAGUUGCUGUUAUUUUUCUAGUGGGACAAAAUAUGUCAUAAAACUAUGCAAACUUGACAAAAGGAUGGGCCCAUCAAUUGUACAAAAAUAAUCUAUGCUAUUUUUCACAUGUUACUCAAAAGUCUUCUGCAAGAUUUUCUUACCUUAACUUCCUUCUCUUAGUGAGAAAAGUUGAAGAAAAGAAAGCUAUGCACUAUGCUGUAAUGAUAAGCACAAGAUGGUACUUGCAUUUUGGAAUUGGUUUACAAAGUACGAGGUAAAUGAUGGAGAAUGUAUGGUUAUUCUUAUUCAGAUUGCUUUCCAUGAAAGUUCAGAAGUGAGUGCCAUAGUAGAGAAAACCAUGAUCUAUGUGCGCUCCAACCUUACUUUUUGCACUAGAUCCUUGUAACUGAUUUGACUUUGGACCUUUGGUAUUUCUGUUAGUUGAAAGGGCAACCAGGGUUGGUGAACAUCGUUAAAUUAUUAUGGUAGUGAUAAGGGGCCUUUCCCUGAAUGUCACAACCUGUGAGUUUUCCUUUCUUUUCCACUAAAGAGCUGUGGCAUAUUUUUUAAGAAUACACUAUUCUUGUUUUGAAGUUUUGAGAACAUGCAGGAGAGAUGUAUUAAGUAGAGUGAAGAUCAAACCAUGCAGGAUACAAAGGUGCUAAAGCCCUUCGUGGCCUUCCCUCCACUCCAGGCCUCCAGAUGACAAUCCAAACUUGGCCCUGUCAGGCUAACAGAUGUUAGCCUUGUAUAGUUUUUUCAUCAUCUUGUUCUUUCUUUCUUUCUCUUUCUUUUUUGUAGCCCGGCUACAUUGCUGUACUCACCCUCUUUCUUUGCGGUUUCCUUCUAAUAUACACAAGCCAAAGCAUGUGUUCGAGGAAAAAAAACUCAAAGGAGUAAUACAAGAGAGGAAACAAAAA